CCAGCUGCGAGUGCGAGUGCCAGACUGUGAAACUGAUAAUUGAAGCAGAAAGCGAAUAUUGUCAAUGCUACCAAGAAAACAAAACAUAAUGAAAAAACAGGCUGGUACUGUUAUUCUUUGGAAUUAAAUGCGAAUUUUAUCUCCAAAAUAAUUAUAUUAUAAUGGUGUGGAGAAUGGAAGAUAAUUAAUUGCAAUCAAUCGCGUUCAAUAUCAAGGACUCAGGUACAUUUCUAAGAAAAAUGUAUUCUAAAUACCAUUUUAUUUCUUACUAUCAUUA